GCCCUUGUGGUGUAAUUAUGAGCAUGUCUGGCUGGCAAUCGGAAGGACCAAAAUUCGAAUUCUUGCGAGGGCA
rnacentral:tRNA from 1 species